rnacentral:rRNA from 1 species
AUGGCGGCGAUAUCCAAGGUGCUCGAGGACGAUGACCUCCUCAGUGAGAUCCUCCUCCGCACCGUCUUCACCACCACCCUUCUCAACUCCGCCCUCGUAUGCACACGCUGGCUCGCCCAUGCUUCCAACCGCGCCUUCCUCCAUCGAUUUCGUGAGAUCCACCCGCCCCGCCUUCUUGGCUUCUACAUCAACAAAGGUCAGAACACCCCGCACUUCAUCCCAAUAUUGCCUCAGCCCCGUGAACUCACUGCUGUCAUCCGUCACGCAGCCUCUAGCUUGGGCACCUAUCAAAGAGUACCGUCGGUACCAACCUACAUCCUUGGUUGCCGGAAUGGCAACGUCCUCAUUAGGCAGCAUGAUAAAAUUGGAACCACGUUUGCGGUACACAACAUGGUGUGUCCUGAGAGAGGCAUGGACAUCCUCCCACCGUUUCCACGCCCCCAAUCUCCGUACUUAUUUGACGGUACUGCUUACUCUAGAAUCAUGUCCAAAGAAGAGGGUGAUGCCUUGUCUUACUUCUUGAUCAUACAGCAGCCCCCUCGUCCAUGGUCAGUACUUAAAUCUGUGUUGUCCAACAAUAAAAUCUAUGUGCCAGCUGGCUGGAGCAACAUUAUUGUCUUGGAUUUGGCGGCCUCAAGUUUCUCCAUAAUUGAGCUCCCAGAAGGGAUGGAGUAUGGUGAGAGAAACACCAUAUUGUCACAGGCCGAUGAUGUUGCUGGUGUAUAUCUUAUCCAUGUCAAGAAGUUUCAACUUCGCAUCUGGCUCCACAAUGGGUACACAUGGUUACUGAUGGACACCAUUUAUUUGCGUGAGAUGUUUGCUGAUUUUAGUGUGUCAGAUAGCAAUGCUUCUCUCCUGAUAAACCAGGCAGGAGACAAUGCUGAGUUUGUGUUCUUGGACAUGGGUCGAUGCACAUUCCUCUUGGACAUCAAGCGUAGAACAAUGCAUAAGGUGUAUGAGAAGGAAGACGGUGAUAAAUUUUUCUGUGAAAUCCAUCCUCUUAUGAUGAUCUGGCCUCCCGUAUUUCCUGCACACAAGGGUGAUCCUACAAGAAAUGGCAUGCUCAGGCUGAAGAUCAAGGAUAUGGAUGGACACUAG